rnacentral:sRNA from 1 species
GUUCAUGAUUUAUUAUUUAUAUAAAAUUUAGCUAUGCACCAAUAUGUAGCUUUGUAAUCUAUAUACAUAUUCCUGCCUACCAAAAAAAAAUCUAUAUACAUAUUCCUUUUUUAUAUAUAUUUCUUCUCAAAAUAACUGGCAUUAUCACCAAUACAGAUUUUUCCAAAGUUGUGUGAGAUCUGUAAAUUUGGUCACUCUUUUUGUUGAUAUGUAUAUUGAAUUUGAUCAUUCGUGUCUUGCAGUUAAACAAGGUCAUGGCGGAAGUCUAAAAUAAAGAGUUUUCCGUCUUUGUUUUCUUAAAUAAAAGAAAAAAUUAGUUACAAAAAUAGAGAAUUCUGUUUUGCCAAAUUUUAGGAAACAAUUUUUCUGAAAACUU